CUACAACAAGAAGUACUUUGACAAGCGCCAUUUUGAUGAAACCAGGAGUAGGUGAAACGUGGAGGAGAGGACACGUGUGUGCUGUAAAUAUAUUACUUGUUGAGCAUGUGAAAUGACAAGGCAACCAUGGGGAAGCAGGAGAGCGAUGCAGAAUCGGGAUACAAAACGGAAGGCCCAAAAAGAACAACAAAAGUACGAAAUUCCUGAUGGCCAUGGAAAGAGGGUGCUUAAUGGACUACAAAGGAAAGAAUUUAGAUGAAAUUGAAAUUGAUCCCAAUGAAACAAUUCCAGAGGAGAG